rnacentral:rRNA from 1 species
GGGUUGUGAGGUUAAGCGACUAAGCGUACACGGUGGAUGCCCUGGCAGUCAGAGGCGAUGAAGGACGUGCUAAUCUGCGAUAAGCGUCGGUAAGGUGAUAUGAACCGUUAUAACCGGCGAUUUCCGAAUGGGGAAACCCAGUGUGAUUCGUCACACUAUCAUUAACUGAAUCCAUAGGUUAAUGA